rnacentral:misc_RNA from 1 species
AAGGCGUAACAAGGGUUCCGUAGGUGAACCUGCGGAAGGAUCAUUAACACAUAUCCAAACGUCCUGUGAAUAUUGAAUCUCGGUUCCCCCAGGGCCUACAUUAGUCUUAACAAGGUUUUGAGUUAGAGGAUGGCGCACGAGUAGCACCUGUAUUGGUUCGAGCGUUUACAACUAUCCACUCCUGGUGCCCCUAAGCAACCAUCAAUCUGAAAGUGUUUGGUGAGUUGUGCAAGGGCAGCGCAGUCAACGAUCGGUGGUCCACACGGCCAUCGACCGGGGGUCGUUACUCCCUCGUGGGGCUUUGUUCAUUCAGGUUGAACAUGAUGCAUGUUAAAAGCGCCCGACGAAAGUCCGACGCACUCCUAACCGAGCAUGGUUCUC